rnacentral:lncRNA from 1 species
UUUAUUUAUUUAUUCACUAGAGACAGAGGCAGAGACACAGGCAGAGGGAGAAGCAGGCUCCCCGUGGAUCAGGGCUCCAUCCCAGGACCCUGAGAUCACGACCUGAGCCAAAGGUAGACGCUCAACCACUGAGCCACCCAGGGGCCCCUCCUUUGUUUUUUUAUUAUCAUCAUGAAUCAGAAGGCCAAAAAAAACCAUUGUGAGCAAUAUUCAAAACGUAGUAGAAAUAUUCGAAUAUCAUUUAAGGCCCAGUAGAAAUUAAAGCACUUCUGUCAGGAUAUAAGGGUCAAAGAAAUUGUGAAUCAGGAAAAAGAUGCACAGUUGUUACUCUGAACCCCAAGCCAUAAACUGGCUCAUAGCUUGCCGCAGUCUAAUGCUGAAUCAGCCAAAAAUUCCUGGUGACAAACAACACGUUCUUCUUUGACCGGUUUAAACAGAAUGGGGAUUCAUUAAAAGCUAAAUAAGGCAGCUCACAGGAUCUUUGAGUGGCCGACAAGGAUCCAGGGCCUGAGGCCAUUGGCUGGGACUCCCAAGCACCCCCUGGUGUUCUCUAGGGAAACAUCACUGCCAUGUCUGCUCAGCAUGCCCUGCUUGGGACCAGACACCAGAAACUUCCAUGGUUGCCCCAGAUGAAGGGGCUGCAUCGACCCGUCAUGCCCAGAAGACUGACUCUCCCCAGGGUGGGAACCGCUCCUCCCAUUACUGCCUCCUGCGUAGUCUCCACAGAUGGGCCCAGUUGAGAACCUGUCACACUCAGGCAUCCCUGCUACAAGACAGUCCAGUAACAUGAGGUUUUGACUCCCACCUUGAAAAGAACUUAUAAGGCGAGAAACGAUGAAAACAUACAAAGAAGUCCAAGGGAGGUAGCCACGAUGACCAAAGUCCCUUAGGAAUCCCAGUCUGCCUUUUUUAUCCACAUUUCUCCUCCCCAAACCCUCUCUUUUCAGCAGCCUGGUCUCCUUAUUAUUCCUCAUACGUCCCACCUCCCAGUUUUACCGUAUGAGGUUUAUGGAAGCAACUUACUCAAGGCCACAGAACGACUAAGAAAUAAAAACGUGGACUUGAGGCUAAGUCUGUUCUAAGAUCCAGAGUCUACAUCUCCGUCAUGUGCUAAGAGUGGAUUUAAAGUCUAUCCAUCAGCACUGUCCCCAGGUAUCAAGUACUCAGUACAUGUCCUAGGCAGAUAGCAAUUUAAUUUAUUUCAACAGUCAUGCUUUUAUUUUUUUCCCCAAUGGUUAUAUUUUUAAUGCUUGGAAGGGAGCCUUGGUUUAGCUACUUAGAAAUUAUGUGAUGGGGGAUCCCUGGGUGGCUCAGCGGUUUAGCGCCUGCCUUUGACCCAGGGCGUGGUCCUGGAGUCCUAGGAUCAAGUCCCGCGUUGGGCUCCCGGCAAGGAGCCUGCUUCUCCCUCUGCCUGUCCCUCUGCCUCUCUCUCUCUCUCUCCUAUGUCUAUCAUGAAUAAAUAAAUAAAAUCUUAAAAAAAAAGAAAGAAAAAAGAAAUUAUGUGAUGAUUGGCAAAUUACCAAACCCUGUGAGCCUGUUUCCUCCUCCAUCAAAUGGGAAUGAUGAGUUGCUCAUUAGGCUGGUGUGAUGACAUUUCUGGAAAUGGGGCACAAGCCUGGACUGGAGCAGACACAUGAUAAAUAUAAGGUCCACACAUGAGUAGGCCUCAUGCUUUAAUGGAGCAAGCAGCUACCUUGCUGUGUGAUUUCCAAGGUCCCAGGAAACCCUCCCAGCCCUCGACCAGCCCCGCUGCACACUCACACUCACGCACCCCACCUGUAAUCUGCUCACUGAUAACUGGUCAGGGAGAUGUGUUUGACAAGACCAUGUAUUUGAAUGACCCAUGUCAAGAUAGAAGUGCUAGUUAGGAAAACCCACUGUGAGAGCCGCUUACAGGAAGAGGAAGGGAAAGGCACAGGAUGCUGCCAGUCUGGCGAAGGCAGGAGAGGACACCACAGAAAAUUGCCUAGAAGUAAUAAGGGCUGAGGCAGCUACCAAAGUGGCCCAGAUUCUCCCCAAAGUGACAAAUGAGAAACUCCGUUUGACCAAUGUGGGGAGUGAGCCGCAAAUACAACUAACCCACGUCCUAGGGAGUCUAGGAGGGGGUUGCAGAAAACCAGAAACCCCCGAGAUGAUAUGCCAGCAUCACCUUAGGAGGAGCACAAACUCCCCACACUCCUGGAUGCAGGCCAUCCCAGGUGAGGGGUGGGAAGGGAUGCAGGGGCCCCUGCAGACCAUAGGCAUAGAGUGUUGAAUUCAUUUCGGGCCAAUGAAAAACCCCUCCUAUGUGAAAUCUCUAAUUCCUAAUAUCACCUUACAAUAGGCAACUCCCUGAAAUAACUUUCUAUUUCUUACAACCAAAGCAAAACCAAUAAAAAAAAAACCUAACUGAAAUAGUGGACUGAGCCAGGAACCCUCGAGAGAAAGAGUAGAAGAGAGAAAAGUAGAAGACUUCAUGGGCACGCCCACACCACACAUGCUCCUUCCUUCUUGUCUUGCACAGAUGGCCUGCAACCCAAUCACUACCUGGGGCAGCUCCUAUUCAUCCUUCAAGACCCAGUUGAUUUACCUAUUGCCUUCUCUGAAAAACCUUCCCAAGGCCUACAGAGGAAUUAGGCAUUUCUUCACUGUGCCUUUCUCACUGCUUGGACAUCUCCUAUGUUCCAUUUCCUGUUUUCUUGGUUCACUUCUCUGACCUAGCCCUUUCUAUGGCACCAGCAUGCCCAGGAAUCAUGGGGUAAACUUGUGCCUCGGCCAUACCACUCUCUCUUCAUCACAGCCCCACCCUGUCACAUUGACACACGUGCAGACCUAAAUGGAGAAAAAAGUUAACACCCUAUGGGGCAGCCCUUGGCCAUAAGAAGAUGGGAGCUGGUGGAAAAACCAUCCUACUCUUACAUGUCUCAGGGGACAUUUCUGAGGGACACGCUACCCAUCUCUGAAAAGGCCUCCGACAGGAUUGCAUUCCAGGUGUCCUCAGCAGUAAGCAGUUACUAAUAACCCCUCUGACUGGCUUUCAGGCUUCCUCUGCCUCAUUCUACCUAGCAACCACCCCACACAUACCUUAAAAUCACUUCCCAAAAUAAAAGGCCUGCAAACAAGUCCUCGGCCCCGGGCUCUGCUAAGAUACAAGUUCACAGUGGUUUUGAUCAUAAAGCACACAGAAAAACAGAACGUCCUCAAAGGCUACUCUUCCACCCUUAGUAGGUCAGGUUGGAAACCAACCUCAUCACUAUGAAGAUUAUGAAGAGAUGGUAUCUAGCAGGCUCAUGUGGCUAAAGAAGCCCAAAACUAUCACUGUCAGAGAGGAAAAUAAUCUCAGCUUUGAACGAUGCUAGUCUGGAGGACCACCUUUGUGUAGCGAGCGAGGCCAUUGCCUCCAUCCAGCAUGGCUGACUAUCAAUAUGAAGAUAAAUCAAUCCUCUCUUCUAAAGAUGGCCCACCCAUAAUUAGAGUCCAGUCGUUUCCACUGGUGGCUCCCAGUCACCUGGAAAUCAGUGGGGCUUGUGCAAGAACCUGUGAUAACUUGAAUAAGCGCCGUGCCUUGUACGCAGCGAGAGUAAAUGGCUCAUCAUUUCUAUCUGCCUACCUGUGUAUGGAAAUGAGUCAUGAUUAAUCAGAUAAAUUCAUUUAAAAAUGUCAUUUGGGGUGCCCGGGGAACUCAGUUGGUUAAACAUAUGACUUUGGCUCAGGUCGUGGUCUCAGGAUCCAGCCCUGCCUUGGGCUCCAUGCUGGGCGUGCAACCUGCUGAACAUUCUCCCUCCCCCUUGGCCACUCCCCCAUCCUUUAAAUAAGCAAAUAAAUAAACAGACAAGUUACUGACCUCACCCAGGAUGUAUACUCUCCAUCACUGAUGGAGAGUGACGUGGAGGGUAUCUGUAAUCUACUUUCAAGUUACCAAGGGGCACCCAUAUUCCAAAAGCGUGACAACUCCAUUUUAAGUGAUACUGAUGUAAAACAAUAAUUGCCUAACAAUGACUUCUGGGCACAGAGUGCCUACACGUAUUAUUUAACCCUCUGCACGGUCCUGCCAGGAAGGAUCAGGAGCCUGGUUUUAAAGGGAAGAAAACAGAUUCAGAAUGUGGAAGGGACUUUCCUGAGGCUACAGGGAUAAUAGGCAGCGAAUUUAAGGUCAGAAGCCAGGCCUAUGAGACCUUAUCAUCACUAUCAUUCAUUCAUUCAUUUGCUCACUCACUCACAGAUAGGCACAUCUGGGGACAUGGCCCCUACUGUAAGCUUUGGAAGAACAUAGCCGUUAUCCAAGCCCUGCUCCUCAAAACAUCUUUUUUCUGCCAAUUUAAUCCAAUUAUUCUGUCUUUCUUCUCAGCCUAAGCAGGUUUAGAGUAACAGAACCAGACUGUGUCUCUUAGCUUCUUUUCACAGCCACUCAGACCAUGCUGCCUAUCUUUCAAGGAUUUCUUCUUUUAUCACCUGUUUGUUCUCUGGCCUUUAGCUCACCUACAAAGAAAGAUGAAAGAGGAGACAAGCCCAGCAACUUGCAUCUCCUCCUCCAGCCCAGUCCCUUCCUGUUGCCUGGGAGGAGAGGAUAGGGCUGCAGAAAGGAAUCAAAAUGUUGGCAAGAACAGGCAGGGCCCCAUCAUGGCCAGCCACACUCCUUGAGGCACGGAGUGGGGGCAAGAGAGAAAUGUGUGGUCAUGUUCUCUGAGUGUGCCCUUUUUGUUUCAAAACCAGGGAGACAUGCUGCCCUGGCCUCCUCACACAAGCACCCUCCCCUGAUCACCCCAAGCAACAGCCAA